GUACUCCAUUCAACAGCAUAUACAUUAAAACUGAAACAAUAUAGAUUAGCAUGGCCCAUGUGUAAGACCAACACACAAAUUCAUGAAAUCUUCCGUAUUUCU